GUCUGUCAUUCGUCCCGUAAUGGAAUAACCUCCAGCCACACCGUUUGCUCCGAAGUACGAACCGAUGCUGACGCUACGCACGGCCACAGCGCCCCCACCGCAAGCAGCAGGAGAAAUAUGACACGCACAACGCACUGGUUUCCUUUGCUUCCCUUUCAGCAAUUUCAGGUACUCUUUAACUCUCUUUUCAAAGUUCUUUGCAUCUUUCCCUCACGGUACUUGUGCGCUAUCGGUCUCCCACCAAUAUUUAGCUUUAGAUGGAAUUUACCACCCACUUUGAGCUGCAAUCCCAAGC
rnacentral:rRNA from 1 species